rnacentral:rRNA from 1 species
UACAGAGGGGGCAAGCGUUGUUCGGAAUUACUGGGCGUAAAGGGCGCGUAGGCGGCCUGUUAAGUCGAACGUGAAAUCCCCGGGCUCAACCCGGGAACUGCGUCCGAUACUGGCAGGCUCGAAUCCGGGAGAGGGAUGCGGAAUUCCAGGUGUAGCGGUGAAAUGCGUAGAUAUCUGGAGGAACACCGAUGGCGAAGGCAAUCCCCUGGGCCUGCACUGACGCUCAUGCACGAAAGCGUGGGGAGCAAACAGG